rnacentral:rRNA from 1 species
GAGUUUGAUCCUGGCUCAGGACGAACGCUGGCGGCGUGCUUAACACAUGCAAGUCGAACGGAAAGUGCUCUUCGGAGUGACUCGAGUGGCGAACGGGUGAGUAACACGUGGGUGAUCUGCCCUGCACUUUGGGAUAAGCCUGGGAAACUGGGUCUAAUACCGGAUAGGACUACGAAUCGCAUGGUUUGUGGUGGAAAGCUUUUGCGGUGUGGGAUGGGCCCGCGGCCUAUCAGCUUGUUGGUGGGGUGAUGGCCUACCAAGGCGACGACGGGUAGCCGGCCUGAGAGGGUGUCCGGCCACACUGGGACUGAGAUACGGCCCAGACUCCUACGGGAGGCAGCAGUGGGGAAUAUUGCACAAUGGGCGCAAGCCUGAUGCAGCGACGCCGCGUGAGGGAUGACGGCCUUCGGGUUGUAAACCUCUUUCAACGCCGACGAAGCGGAAGUGACGGUAGGCGUAGAAGAGGCACCGGCCAACUACGUGCCAGCAGCCGCGGUAAUACGUAGGGUGCGAGCGUUGUCCGGAAUUACUGGGCGUAAAGAGCUCGUAGGUGGUUUGUCGCGUUGUUCGUGAAAACUCACAACUCAAUUGUGGGCGUGCGGGCGAUACGGGCAGACUGGAGUACUGCAGGGGAGACUGGAAUUCCUGGUGUAGCGGUGGAAUGCGCAGAUAUCAGGAGGAACACCGGUGGCGAAGGCGGGUCUCUGGGCAGUAACUGACGCUGAGGAGCGAAAGCGUGGGGAGCGAACAGGAUUAGAUACCCUGGUAGUCCACGCCGUAAACGGUGGGUACUAGGUGUGGGUUUCCUUCCUUGGGAUGUUCGCCGUGAUAUAUGCGCAUUCCACCCCCUACAGCGGAGUUCGCAGUCAAGGCUAAAGUUCAACGGAAUGGACGUAUCGCCGCCCAAGCCGCAGAGCAUGUGGGAGAUUUCGAGACAACCGGGACAACCCUACUUGGAUCUGUCAACCACCAGUAAUUGGGAGCGACGUUGGCUCCCUAGUUAUUUGCGCGCAGGUGGGCCAGUAGUGUGGUCAUGUCUUUUCUAGAGAUAUUGUCAUAUGUCCUUCGUCGACGGCGAAAGAGGUUUCCAACCGGAAGCACGUCAUCCCUCAGGCUGGGGAGAGGCAUCAGGGGUGAGCUCGGAGGACAAUGGGGACGACGUCAAGUCAUCAUAGGCGUUAGGUCCAGGUCUCAGCACCAGUUACAACGGACAGCACAAAAGGCUGGGAAGCCGUGAUGUGGAGGGUAGCCCAUCAAAACACGGUCACAGUGAUAAUCCGCGUGCCCAUCCCACACCGCAAAGUCGGAGUCCACAGUAAUCGCAGAUCAGUAGUCCUAUCGGUGAAUACGUUCCAGUUUCCCAGGCACACCGCAAAGUGCAGUCAUGAAAGUCGGUAACACCCGAAGCCGGUGGCCUAACGAGUAAGGGGGGGAGCCGUCGAAGGUGGGAUCGGCGAUUGGGAAGAAGUCGUAACAAGGUAGCCGUACCGGAAGGUGCGGCUGGAUCACCUCCUUUCU